GCAUUGAAACACUGAUUCCCAUACAAUCACUAAAGUUAAGCCAUAUUCAGUCUGGUUAGUACCUAAAUGGGUGACCACUUGAGAAUACCAGGUGCUGUAAG